UGCUUAACAGCUAGCCCACCCAACCAACAACAACAAUCCACUAUUUAUACCCCCAAAUAAACAAGCGUUAACCAAACAAACCAUUUUUCCCCCUAAGUAUGGGCGACAGAAAAGGAUCCGAGGAGCAAUAGAGAAAGUACCGCAAGGGAACGCUGAAAGAGAAAUGAAAUAACCCAGUAAAGUUUAAAAAAGCAGAGACUAACCCUCGUACCUUUUGCAUCAUGAUUUAGCCAGUGUUGACCAAGCAAAACGUGUUUUAGUUUGACAUCCCGAAACUGGGUGAGCUACUCCAAGACAGCCUAAUUAAAAGGGCCAACCCGUCUCUGUGGCAAAAGAGUGGGAAGAGCUUUGAGUAGAGGUGACAGACCUACCGAACCUAGUUAUAGCUGGUUGCCUGGGAAUUGAAUAGAAGUUCAGCCUCCCGGCUUCUUUCUUCACCUCAGAUCUUACCCUAACCUGAUACCCCAAAGAAACCGAGAGAGUUAGUCAAAGGGGGUACAGCCCCUUUGAAGCAAGACACAACUUUUUCAGGAGGAUAAAGAUCAUA
rnacentral:rRNA from 1 species